rnacentral:rRNA from 1 species
UACGUAGGGUGCGAGCGUUAAUCGGAAUUACUGGGCGUAAAGCGUGCGCAGGCGGUUUUGUAAGCCAGAUGUGAAAUCCCCGGGCUUAACCUGGGAAUGGCAUUUGGGACUGCAAGGCUCGAGUGCGGCAGAGGAGACUGGAAUUCCUGGUGUAGCAGUGAAAUGCGUAGAUAUCAGGAGGAAUACCGAUGGCGAAGGCAGGUCUCUGGGCUGACACUGACGCUCAUGCACGAA